UUCAGUCGUUUCACGAUCGCGAUGGCUCCCAAGGUUUCACUUUAUUUACAGACCCUGAUCUUCGUCUUGGUUACGACUCUGCCCUCCUCCUUCGCUCUUCUCUCCUCCCCGGAUGCCACUUCUCCUCCGUAUCCUAAAGCCAUAUCGGAUUUGAAGGAGGUGAUUGUGAAGGGUUUGGGGUUCCAGGCGGAUGAUUUUAAGAUUUCGGGAUUUGAUAUUAAAGAUGCGUUGGUGGGCAGGUCGGUGGCGUAUGAAUUCGAUAUUGAAAUCGAUAACCUGGUGAUGCCGUUUAAGUUAGUGGAGGAUGUUAAUCGAUGGGAGUAUAUGGAUUUGCCGAUUUUCAGAGUUGAGGAAGGAGGACCGGUUAGGCCUGGUGAUGAGAAUGGUUUAGUGAAGCAGAGUGGAAAGACGGAUAAUGGGUUGCCUGUUCUGGCUCCGUUUCAUCUUGCUGGACCCAUGGAGAUAUGGAUUCAGGAUGCUCAGGAUAUGCGCAUCUCGUUGCCGCAUGAUGUGGAUGCUGGUGUACUGAAGAAAGUAAUAUUGGCAGAUGGUGUGGUGGUUACAGUCAAGGGUGCUAGAUCAGUUAGCCUACGCCA
rnacentral:misc_RNA from 1 species